rnacentral:lncRNA from 10 species
UAGAGACGAGGUUUCACCAUGUUGGUCAGGCUGGUCUCGAACUUCAGACCUCAGGUGUUCUGAAUGAUGAGUAGGAGUUUGCCGGGUCGGCAGGAGGGGAAGGGUGUUGGAAGCACCAGAAGCAGCAUAAGCGGGGGCUGGGAGGUGUGAGAGCUGGCAGGUUAUUUGGGGUUGGCAAGGGGUGGGCUGUGGCUGGAGUGUAGGGUGGAAUAAUGCUGGAAGGAAGGGUUUACACCCUGAAAGAUGUCACCACCAAGGAGGCCCGGGGGGUGGGCCGUGGAGGGUUGCUGGAGCAGGGGCACAGAGGAGGGGGCAGUGGUGCGAGUGGCCCCAGGCAGAGAGUGAAGGCAGAGCAUUCAGCCUCCUAGUCUGGAUGACAGGUUGUCUGGU